AAACGAUCACGUGGAAGCUGUUCCAGAGUCUGCUAAUACCGAUGCUGUGGAAGUUGCAGCAGCGGGUGAAGCAACAAGUGUGAAGUCAGAGGUGAAGGAGAAUGAAGCAGCAACUGAAGGGAACCAACCAAAUCAAGGCUUGUUGGAGAUUUGAUUUAUUUGGAUGUGGUAACUCUUGAGGGAAAUAAAUAUUCUAUUACGGGAAGUACAAAAAUGUUUUAUGUCAACUCGAGCUCGGCAAACACUCUUGAUCCAAGGCCAAGUAAAGCUACUUCAGAAGCAACAACUCUUGUUACGCUCUUGCAGAAGAUUAGCCCCAGGUUCAAAAAAGCAUUCCGUGAAAUAUUGGAGGGCAGGGCUUCUGCCCAUCCUUUUGAAAACGUCCAGUCUUUGUUGCCACCUAAUUCUUGGCUUGGCUUGCACCCGAUUCCUGACCACAAACGUGAUGCUGCCAGGGCUGAAAAUUCCUUGACUCUUCUAUAUGGAAGUGAGCCAAUUGGCAUGCAAAGAGACUGGAAUGAGGAGCUGCAAUCCUGUCGAGAAUUUUCUCAUACAACUCCACAGGAGAGGAUCUUGCGUGAUAGGGCACUUUAUAAAGUGACAUCGGACUUUGUUGACGCAGCCAUUAAUGGUGCUGUUGGAGUGAUCAGUGGCUGUAUUCCUCCAAUAAAUCCAACCGAUCCAGAAUGCUUUCACAUGUACGUGCACAACAAUAUUUUCUUAGUUUUGCUAUUGAUGCUGACCUCGAGAAGCUGUCGAAGAAACACGGGGAUGGCAAUUCAAAAACAUGCUGCACAGGCACUUUGCAAAGUUCUUCUGAUAAAGCUUCUCAUAUUCGACCUCAUGGGGACAGUCCGGUUCCCAAUGGCGGCAAAACUGACGGUUCAAGUUUGGAAGAUGUUAAUAGCACAGAAACCACUCCAGACGUUUCUCCUGAAGCUCAGCUGGCUGAGAAUGAGCAAGCAACAUAUGCUUCAGCAAACAAUGAUUUGAAGGGCACCAAGGCUUACCAGGAAGCUGAUGUCCCUGGACUUUAUAAUCUUGCUAUGGCAAUAAUCGACUACAGGGGUCACAGAGUGGUAGCUCAGAGUGUUUUGCCAGGCAUUCUUCAAGGGGACAAGUCAGACUCUCUCUUGUAUGGCUCUGUUGACAAUGGAAAGAAAAUUAGCUGGAAUGAAGAUUUUCAUGCUAAGGUAAGGAGGGUGUGGAAGUUUAAUUUAGUGAUGUAGUUAGAUGAUUGAAAUCGGCGGAGAACAGAAACAGAUUUCACAAUACGAUUACUUUAUCGAUAAGAAUUCUGGAGAAUGAUUCAAAACCAGAAUAUUACACGUUGACGCAUUACAAUAAUUAUAAUUAUUGGAAAUUACACUGAAUAACAAGACACAAAUACACAACCAAUUCGAGAGCUUGGCUCUCUCCCUCCCUCCCAAUUGUCUAACACUCACAACUUAGGAUAAUCAGAACUCUGUACUGUUUCCCUUCUUAUUCUACACAUAAUAAAAGAUAGUAAAGCAGUAAUAAAUAACUUAAGCAAUUUUAAAAAUUAGAUUUAAAAAGAUAAGAUAUAACAAGUACCAAAUAAAAAGAUAUACAUAAUUUUUUUUUUUUUCGGGUCUACGGUGAAAAAGAUAAGAUAUAUACACAUAAAUUAUUAUUUUUUGAUCUAAAGAUAUACAUAAAUUUAGUUUGUUGAAACGAUAAUGCAUACGGAGUAUUAAGUUAUAAUAAAAAGAUAAGAUAUAUGAAGUUUGUUGGUUUAUCUCUAUAAAGAAGGGAUUAUUAAGUUACAAUUUAAACAACCUACUUAUUUGCUUAUAAAUAUCAAGUGAGUAUCACUGUUAAGUCAUUAUCAAUAAAUUCUCCAAUCUUUCAUCUAAAAUCCCAACAAACUCA